rnacentral:pre_miRNA from 1 species
UUAACUAAAAUUUGUAUGGAGUUGGAAUGUUUGCCAACCUUUGCCACCAGGGGCGCUGUUCCAAACUGCAUACUCAUUUGAGUUA